AUGUGGGGCUGGACUGGGUCCGACGCAGAAACCGUCUGGAGUCCGUUAUUCUGGGUCCACUCGGAAACCAGGAAGGGGUGGGUGGGUCCCGGCUGGAUUGGGUCUGCCUUAAGCUGGACCGGCACCAGCGUGAGGCAUCCGGUGAGAAGAUUAAAGCUGUAUUCUCAUAGCCACUUGCCUGUAGCUUUUCAAACAAAAGGCAAUGUUGCCAUGACCUUCAUCCACACUAAUACACAUGCAAUUUUCUAUUCUGAGUGCACAUUUAAAUCCACAUAA
rnacentral:lncRNA from 1 species